rnacentral:sRNA from 1 species
UUUUUUUUUAACCAAAAACCAAAAAAAAA